UAGUAACUGCGAGUGAAGCGGGAAAAGCUCAAAUUUAAAAUCUGGCGGUCUUUGGCCGUCCGAGUUGUAAUCUAGAGAAGCGUCUUCCGUGCCGGACCGUGUACAAGUCUCUUGGAACAGAGUAUCAUAGAGGGUGAGAAUCCCGUCUUUGACAUGGACUACCGGUGCUUUGUGAUGCGCUCUCAAAGAGUCGCGUUGUUUGGGAAUGCAGCGCAAAAUGGGUGGUGAAUUCCAUCUAAAGCUAAAUAUUGGCGAGAGACCGAUAGCGAACAAGUACCGUGAGGGAAAGAUGAAAAGCACUUUGGAAAGAGAGUUAAACAGUACGUGAAAUUGUUGAAAGGGAAACGCUUGAAGUCAGUCGCGUCUGGCGGAACUCAGCCUUGCUUUUGCUUGGUGCACUUUCCGUUUGACGGGCCAGCAUCGAUUUUGGCCGCCGGAUAAAGUUCAGGGGAAUGUGGCACCUUCGGGUGUGUUAUAGCCUUUGUUYGCAUACGGCGGCUGGGAUCGAGGUUCGCAGCACGCCUUUUGGCCGGGGUUCGCCCACGUACGUGCUUAGGAUGCUGGCGUAAUGGCUUUAAACGACCCGUCUUGAAACACGGACCAAGGAGUCUAACAUGCCCGCGAGUGUUUGGGUGGAAAACCCAUGCGCGUAAUGAAAGUGAAAGUUGAGACCUCUGUCGUGGAGGGCAUCGACGCCCGGUCUUGAGCUUCGGCGACAGAUCUGCGGUAGAGCGUGUAUGUUGGGACCCGAAAGAUGGUGAACUAUGCCUGAAUAGGGUGAAGCCAGAGGAAACUCUGGUGGAGGCUCGUAGCGAUUCUGACGUGCAAAUCGAUCGUC
rnacentral:rRNA from 1 species